rnacentral:rRNA from 1 species
AGAGUUUGAUCCUGGCUCAGGAUGAACGCUUGCGGCAGGCUUAAUACAUGCAAGUCGAACGGUAACAGGGUAGCAAUACCGCUGACGAGUGGCGCACGGGUGAGUAACACGUAUGCAACCUACCUUUAACUGGAGGAUAGCCCCGAGAAAUUGGGAUUAAUACUCCAUAACAAUAGAAGUGGCAUCAUUUCUAUUUGAAAGCUCCGGCGGUUAAAGAUGGGCAUGCGUAACAUUAGCUAGUUGGUGAGGUAACGGCUCACCAAGGCGACGAUGUUUAGGGGGUCUGAGAGGAUGAUCCCCCACACUGGUACUGAGACACGGACCAGACUCCUACGGGAGGCAGCAGUAGGGAAUAUUGGGCAAUGGACGCAAGUCUGACCCAGCCAUGCCGCGUGCAGGAAGACGGCCCUAGUGGUUGUAAACUGCUUUUGUACGGGAAGAAACCCCUGGACGUGUCCGGGGCUGACGGUACCGUGCGAAUAAGGAUCGGCUAACUCCGUGCCAGCAGCCGCGGUAAUACGGAGGAUCCAAGCGUUAUCCGGAUUUAUUGGGUUUAAAGGGUGCGUAGGCGGGCUAAUAAGUCAGUGGUGAAAUCCUACAGCUUAACUGUAGAAUUGCCAUUGAUACUGUUAGUCUUGAGUACAGUUGAGGUUGGCGGAAUGUGUCAUGUAGCGGUGAAAUGCUUAGAUAUGACACAGAACACCGAUUGCGAAGGCAGCUGACCAAACUGCAACUGACGCUGAGGCACGAAAGCGUGGGGAUCAAACAGGAUUAGAUACCCUGGUAGUCCACGCUGUAAACGAUGAUUACUCGAUGUGUGCGAUAUACUGUACGCGUCUAAGCGAAAGCAUUAAGUAAUCCACCUGGGGAGUACGGUCGCAAGAUUGAAACUCAAAGGAAUUGACGGGGGCCCGCACAAGCGGAGGAGCAUGUGGUUUAAUUCGAUGAUACGCGAGGAACCUUACCUGGGCUUAAAUGGGGAGUGACAGCCGCCGAAAGGUGGUCUUCUUCGGACACUCUUCAAGGUGCUGCAUGGUUGUCGUCAGCUCGUGCCGUGAGGUGUCGGGUUAAGUCCCAUAACGAGCGCAACCCCUAUUCUUAGUUGCCAUCAGGUCAUGCUGGGGACUCUAAGAGAACUGCCUACGUAAGUAGAGAGGAAGGUGGGGAUGACGUCAAAUCAGCACGGCCCUUACGUCCAGGGCUACACACGUGCUACAAUGGCCGAUACAGAGGGUCGCUACUCCGUGAGGAGAUGCUAAUCUCGAAAAUCGGUCUUAGUUCGGAUCGAAGUCUGCAACUCGACUUCGUGAAGUUGGAUUCGCUAGUAAUCGCGCAUCAGCCACGGCGCGGUGAAUACGUUCCCGGGCCUUGUACACACCGCCCGUCAAGCCAUGGGAGUUGGGGGUACCUGAAGUCGAUAACCGCAAGGAGUCGCCUAGGGUAAAACCGAUGACUAGGGCUAAGUCGUAAUAAGGUA